CCUACGGGGGGCAGCAGUGGGGAAUAUUGCACAAUGGGGGGAACCCUGAUGCAGCGACGCCGCGUGAGUGAAGAAGUAUUUCGGUAUGUAAAGCUCUAUCAGCAGGGAAGAAAAUGACGGUACCUGACUAAGAAGCCCCGGCUAACUACGUGCCAGCAGCCGCGGUAAUACGUAGGGGGCAAGCGUUAUCCGGAUUUACUGGGUGUAAAGGGAGCGCAGACGGCUGUGCAAGUCUGGAGUGAAAGGCGGGGGCCCAACCCCCGGACUGCUCUGGAAACUGUAAAGCUGGAGUGCAGGAGAGGUAA
rnacentral:rRNA from 1 species